GUCAGUAAAAUGUUUAGCCAUGGACAUUUAUUGAUGUGUCAAGGAUGACAAGUGCAGUACAACAAGUGCAGACCAGGUUCACAUACUGUUAACCAGGCAACAAACCUGGUUAACAGGUUUGCUGCCUACUGUCCCUUUGCUAGGGCCUACAGAUAUAGGAUCUUAAUUUGAUCACCCUGUUGCAGGAAAAGUAAAACUUGUAGUGUCAUUGAGGUUUAAAAAGGCUGCUGAAGUUUGUAAUUUCCUCUGAAAUUUCAGACUUGAUUUUCCCUUACGGAAAAUGUAUCAACCCCUACAAAAUGGCCAUUAAUUAUAAUCCACAUAAUAGUUCACAUUUCCUGUUGCUGCAGGAUUAUUUUCCUGCUGUAGCAAACUGUCUCAAAUUAAGAUCCUACAUCUGUACAUCUGUUUUAUUCUCCCAAAUGCUUGUUGAAAUAUGUAAUGGUAUUUCAACAAAGAUUUUAUGAAAACAGCAUUUGGAUUAUACUCAGUCUCUCGAAUGAUUAAAGACAGGAUAUUCUCAAGAAAAUGGACUAAUACACUGCAUUCUAUCUAGAAAUUCAAAUCUAUAUCAGUACAUGCUACCUACACCGAUAACCAAAUGAGGUCGUUUCAGAGAUCUUACCUAUCAAACACAAGAACAUUAAUAGUACACUGAAUACAAAUACAUACGGUAUGUUUACAUACUGUACAUCACAAUUACCACUAUAGAAAUCCAUAUUCCCUGACAUUUCUGAGUUGCAGCUAGUGAAUUGUUCUGAAGUCCCUGGGAUAUUGUGUUUGUUAUGUCCCUGUGUAGGGAGGCCUCAUAGGGAGAAGUGGAGAUGGCUGUGUGGAGCCCUGGUGUGAUGGAACAGACCUGGUAGCGUCCCGGCAGCUCCCCGGCAGAGCUGUCACUUCCCUCCCCUGUUACAGGUGCUCCACACAGGGGAACUGGCAGCCCUGACGGACGCCUCCUCCCAAGGAUUUAUGGGAAAUGACAGCUCCAGCUAAAUAAAGCCAGAGAGUGGCGAGGGAGGGAAGGACACGGAACUUCCAAACGACCAGCACACAGGGGCUGACACUAUCUGGAAUUUAUUUCCCAAGCUCUGACUGGCAAUUUAGUUCCAAAAUGUGCUAUUCGUACUGUAGGCCUUAGAAACAGAGCAGAGUGGAGCCCCCAGCCCCGGCCUUCUCCUACACACCUCUGUGUUUGUAGGUAAUGGUCUACCAGGUCUUUUUUCCUCUGUGUUUGUGGGUAAUGUUCUACCAGGUCUCUUUUCCUCUGUGUUUGUGGGUACUGGUCUACCAAGUCUUUUUUCCUCUGUGUUUGUGGGUAAUGUUCUACCAGGUCUCUUUUCCUCGGUGUUUGUGGGUAAUGUUCUACCAGGUCUUUUUUCCUCUGUGUUUGUGGGUAAUGUUCUACCAGGUCUUUUUUCCUCUGUGUUUGUGGGUAAUGUUCUACCAGGUCUCUUUUCCUCUGUGUUUGUGGGUAAUGUUCUACCAGGUCUUUUUUCCUCUGUGUUUGUGGGUAAUGUUCUACCAAGUCUUUUUUCCUCUGUGUUUGUGGGUAAUGUUCUACCAGGUCUUUUUUUCCUCUGUGUUUGUGGGUAAUGUUCUACCAGGUCUUUCUGCUGGCGAAAAUCACAUUUGCUACAUGGCUGACUCUCAAUGAAUUAUUUCACAUUUCACUUACUUACCUUUUUAAAGGUUAAUCUAUUCUACGUCAAAGGAACAUUUCACAGCUACAAAUGAACGGUCCCCCUUCUUCUAACUAACUCUAAAGGCGUGGAGCAUUGGGGUGCUUAAAAACUCAAUUUCAAACUUCAUAACUUAACCAUUCUGCAGCAUAUCUGAAUGCACACGGAUCGCCAGGCGACUGAUUUUCUUUGCAUUUACAUAUGGACUAUUUUUAAUUGAGCAGAAACUGCUGUGUAAAACAGUGCUGAACUAAUACUGGGGCUGAAAUAUCAUUACACUGAUGGAAGCCGGCCUCUAUGACUUUUAUUGGCAGCAUGCAGAAUAAAUGUUCAAUCCAGACACAUCCAUGGCUGCAGAGGCAGAGUAAUCGACUUUUCAGACAAAAUGGUGUGGAAAAUGACGUGUUAUGCCUAAAUCCAACCUGGUGCACAAAUGGACACAGUAUCAGUCAGAUGCACACCAGCAUUGGCUUUUUCACAGAUGUGAUUGGGCAGAUGAUACUGGAGGACUGAUGUGCUGGACCAGUGCUUCAGAUGAAAUGACCAUUUUCAACCAUGUCAUCUAGUUCCAAAAAUGUCUGCACAUUUUGUUCUGUCUAAAUAAAAUGAUGGUUCGGGUCCAAAAUGUUGCUGCAUGAUAUACUCGCAUUAUCUUCCCACACACACAUCAACAAUCCCACAGGAAUUGGAAAUUCACCAUGAUACAUGCAAAUCAAGUAAGAUUUAAGAAGAGGUGAAAUUGAAAAUAUAGAGAUUUAACACACAUUUUUGAAUACAAGAAAUGUGAAUAUUAAUGAUGUAUGAAUAUGAAAAAUAGAGUGCUCCCCCUAGUCUAAAUGUAACGUACAAGUAUAGCACACUGUAUAUCUCUGUAUUAGUGAUGCAGAAGUUUGGCCACAGACAUUUAGAAUUCUCUCCCAAGGAACAGCAGCUCGCCUCGGUCCUUUUUCCAAACAGAUAUCCCAG
ensembl:lncRNA